UUCUGGCUCAGGAUGAACGCUAGCGGCAGGCUUAACACAUGCAAGUCGAGGGGCAUCGGGAGUAGCAAUACUGCCGGCGACCGGCGCAAGGGUGCGUAACGCGUGAGCAACAUGCCCGUAUCAGGGGGAUAAUCCAUGGAAACGUGGUCUAAUACCCCAUAGUAAUUAUGUAAGGCAUCUUAUAUAAUUUAAAGCUUUGGUGGAUACGGAUUGGCUCGCGUGACAUUAGCUAGAUGGUAAGGCAACGGCUUACCAUGGCUACGAUGUCUAGGGGUUCUGAGAGGAAGGUCCCCCACACUGGAACUGAGACACGGUCCAGACUCCUACGGGAGGCAGCAGUGAGGAAUAUUGGACAAUGGAUGGAAAUCUGAUCCAGCCAUGCCGCGUGCCAGGAAGACGGCCCUAUGGGUUGUAAACUGCUUUUGUAUGGGAGCAAUAAGGGCUACGCGUAGUCCGAUGAGAGUACCAUACGAAUAAGCACCGGCUAACUCCGUGCCAGCCGCCGC
rnacentral:rRNA from 1 species